rnacentral:misc_RNA from 1 species
GAUGAAGAACGCAGCGAAAUGCGAUACGUAAUGUGAAUUGCAGAAUUCAGUGAAUCAUCGAAUCUUUGAACGCAUAUUGCGCUCUCUGGUAUUCCGGAGAGCAUGCUUGUUUGAGUAUCAGUAAACACCUCAACUUCCAUAUCUUUUUUGAAAUGGGAGUUGGACUUGAGUGAUCCCAACGCUUUUCCUCACCGAAAAGUGGCGGGUUACUUGAAAUGCAGGUGCAGCUGGACUUUUCUCUGAGCUAUAAGCAUAUCUAUUUAGUCUGCCUAAAAAACAGAUCAUUACCUUUGCUGCAGUUAACAUAAAGGAGAUUAGUUCUUGUGCUGACUGAUGCAGGAUUCACAAAGACGGCUUCGGCCGACUUUGUAAACUCGAUCUCAAAUCAAGUAAGACUACCCGCUGAACUUAAGCAUAUCAAUAAGCGGAGGA